GUUUGAAGGGAAGUGAGGUUUUUUUGGAAGUAGUGGUCAAACCAAUCAGUCCUUAGGUCUGAGUAUUGGCACCUUUGUUGGCCACUAAGAGGUUGGACACGCCUCUGAGGACACGAGGGGUUAAAAGCCGGAUUUCCCAGCAGGACUCUCUCUUUCCCUGCUCUGCUUUCGGAGAGGGAGCGUCUUCUCCUCUCCCCUGCCCAGGCCUGGCUAGGCCGGGUGGGGGAGGGGAGCAAGGUGGGCCUGGCUGAGCAAGGCAGAAGAGAGUUACCCCUGGACGCUGAAUUCUCAUAGUUGGUGGUUUUAGAAGAGAGAGGACAGCCUGGGACCGAGAGGGUAAUGGGAGAUGGAAAGAAGCCCCUUCGAUUGCCGGAAUGAAGAGGAGUGGCCUAUUGGGCUGGACUUUUCCUGCAUAAUGAUAGCCAUAGACGGACCCUGGACCCUUCUGACUAUAAAUAAGACUGUGUUUGGGUGGAUGUUUUUGGCUCAAACCCAGAGACGUUUUGGCCUGCUUCUUGGAGCCCCCGGCCCCAGGGGUAAAUGGGGGGGACCUGAGUCCCAAAAUGAGAAGAUGGCUGGUUUUUGGUACUUGGCCAAAACAUCCUUAAAAAGAGCCCUGUUGC